rnacentral:lncRNA from 1 species
GCUCGGUGGGACAAGUCGUAGGACAGGAAGGAUCCGCGUUCAUCAACCUUGACUGGAUGAACGAUGUCACUGCUGGAGGUCCACAGAGCAGGCUCUGGCUGCUCGGUGCCGCUGCUCCGCUGCACGCCCGCGGCCAGCGCGGCGGCGAGAAGCAGGAGCCGUCCCGGGGCCGGCAUGGGUGCGGGCAGGGCCGGGCCGGGCCGGGCACUAAGUGUCUCCCGGCCCGCGGGGCCGCC